CAGGCCUAACACAUGCAAGUCGUGCGAGAACGGUUCCUUCGGGAACCUAGUAGAGCGGCGAACGGGUGAGUAAUACGUGAGCGAUCUGCCCGAAGGUGGGGGAUACCCCAGGGAAACCUGGACCAAUACCGCGUACAGCGUCGGGAGUGGGUGCCCGACGUGAAAGCCGGCCUCUUCUAUGCUGGCGCCUUCGGAUGAGCUCGCGGCCUAUCAGCUUGUUGGUGGGGUAACGGCCUACCAAGGCUAUGACGGGUAGCUGACGUGAGAGCGUGAUCAGCCACAUUGGGACUGAGACACGGCCCAGACUCCUACGGGAGGCAGCAGUGGGGAAUAUUGCGCAAUGGGCGAAAGCCUGACGCAGCGACGCCGCGUGGGGGAGGAAGGCCCUAGGGUUGUAAACCCCUGUCAGGUGGGACGAACACCUUGUCGGAUAAUACCCGGCAGGACUGACGGUACCACCAGAGGAAGCUCCGGCUAACUCCGUGCCAGCAGCCGCGGUAAUACGGAGGGAGCGAGCGUUGUUCGGAAUUACUGGGCGUAAAGGGCGCGUAGGCGGCCUCGUAAGUCGGGUGUGAAAGGCCGGGGCUCAACCCCGUGCACUGCACCCGAUACUGCAUGGCUAGAGAAAGGUAGAGGCGAGCGGAAUUCCCGGUGUAGCGGUGGAAUGCGUAGAUAUCGGGAAGAACAUCUGCGGCGAAGGCGGCUCGCUGGGCCUUUUCUGACGCUGAA
rnacentral:rRNA from 1 species